UAGGGAAUAUUGGUUAAUGUGCGAAAGCGCGAACCAGCAACGCCGCGUGUGCGAUGAAGGCCUUCGGGUUGUAAAGCACUUUUCGAGGGGAUGAGGAAGGACAGUACCCUCGGAAUAAGCCUCGGCUAACUACGUGCCAGCAGCCGCGGUAAAACGUAGGAGGCGAGCGUUAUCCGGAUUUACUGGGCGUAAAGCGCGUGCAGGCGGUUGUGUAAGUUGGAUGUGAAAGCUCCUGGCUUAACUGGGAGAGGUCCUUCAAUACUGCACAACUAGAGGAUGGGAGAGGGAGGCGGAAUUCCGGGUGUAGUGGUGAAAUGCGUAGAUAUCCGGAGGAACACCAGUGGCGAAAGCGGCCUCCUGGCCCAUAACUGACGCUCAUACGCGAAAGCUAGGGUAGCAAACGG
rnacentral:rRNA from 1 species